rnacentral:rRNA from 1 species
GGCGGCGUGGAUUAGGCAUGCAAGUCGAGCGAGAAACUUCAAAAAGAUGCUUCGGUUGAUUUUUGGAGUGGACAGCGGCGCAAGGGAGAGUAACGAGUAGAUACGUACCCAGGGGUGCGGAAUAGCGGGGGGAAACCGCCGGUAAUGCCGCAUAAAGUCUCCGGACCAAAGAUUUAUCGCCCUUGGAGCGGUCUGCUUCCUAUUAGCUUGUUGGUGGGGUAAUGGCCUGCCAAGGCUCUGAUGGGUAGCGGGUGUGAGAGCAUGGCCCGUCUCACUGGGACUGAGACACUGCCCAGACACCUACGGGUGGCUGCAGUCGAGAAUCUUUGUCAAUGGACGAAAGUCUGAACAAGCGACGCCGCGUGCGGGAUGAAGGCCUUCGGGUUGUAAACCGCUGUCAGAGGGGAGGAAAUUUUGACCGAUCCUCAGAGGAAGCACAGGCUAAGUUCGUGCCAGCAGCCGCGGUAAUACGAACUGUGCGAACGUUAUUCGGAAUCACUGGGCUUAAAGGGUGCGUAGGCGGCUAUGUAGGUCUGAUGUGAAAUCCCACGGCUCAACCGUGGAACUGCGUUGGAAACCAUGUAGCUUGAGGGAGACAGAGGAAAGCGGAACUGAUGGUGGAGCGGUGAAAUGCGCUGAGAUCAUCAGGAACACCGGUGGCGAAAGCGGCUUUCUGGGUCUUUUCUGACGCUGAGGCACGAAAGCUAGGGGAGCGAACGGGAUUAGAUACCCCGGUAGUCCUAGCUGUAAACGAUGAGCACUAGUCCGUGGGGACUUCCACAUCUUCUCGGACGUAGCGAAAGUGUUAAGUGCUCCGCCUGGGGAGUAUGGUCGCAAGGCAA